UCCAACUAUAUUAGGUAGAACAGAAGAUACACAAAGUUUCUAACCAGACCCAAAACAGGAUUGUUUAUCCAAUUAAAUAUUACGUGAUUUUAUGUUCUGCUGCCUUUUUUCUCCUAUAUAAGCUUAAUAUUCUCACCCCGUAACUCAAUUCUCCAACCAUCUCGAUAAUUGUUGUCAAUUUCUUUACCUCAAAGAUUUGAAAUCGUGAUCUACCCGUUGGAUUAGAAGCUGCUGCUAGACAUCAAAAUAUACAAGGGUGUAUGCGUCUGGUGGUAUUCAUAUUUAACUAUGUUUUGGCGAAAGGUUUUCUCUUCUGAUUACCAUGGAUCGUUGAAUUAUAACCAUUUGAUCAUUUUGAUGUUGGCUUGGCUCAAUCAAAUCAAAGUUCUUAGAGAUUCGAUGAGUUCUUUAGUCUGAUUGAGCCGUGCCAAUAUCAGUCAGAUUCAUUUCUAUAUAUGUCUUCCAUUAACAUCUUAAGAAUCCCAGUAACUUUUUGUUGCUUCACAGAAGUUUUUCUGAAAGCAAUACCUUUUCUAUGUAUUCGAACUAACAAUUGACUUAUGCAAAUUUUAU